rnacentral:rRNA from 1 species
GUUAGUGGCAUACGGGUGAGUAACGCGUGGGAAUCUGCCUAGUAGUACGGAAUAACAGUUGGAAACGACUGCUAAUACCGUAUAAUCUCUUCGGAGGAAAGAUUUAUCGCUACUAGACGAGCCCGCGUAAGAUUAGGUAGUUGGUGAGGUAAUGGCUCACCAAGCCUACGAUCUUUAGCUGGUCUGAGAGGAUGAUCAGCCACACUGGGACUGAGACACGGCCCAG